GAUGAACGCUGGCGGCGUGCCUAAUACAUGCAAGUCGAGCGAACGGACGAGAAGCUUGCUUUUCUGAUGUUAGCGGCGGACGGGUGAGUAACACGUGGAUAACCUACCUAUAAGACUGGGAUAACUUCGGGAAACCGGAGCUAAUACCGGAUAAUAUUUUGAACCGCAUGGUUCAAAAGUGAAAGACGGCCUUGCUGUCACUUAUAGAUGGAUCCGCGCUGCAUUAGCUAGUUGGUAAGGUAACGGCUUACCAAGGCAACGAUGCAUAGCCGACCUGAGAGGGUGAUCGGCCACACUGGAACUGAGACACGGUCCAGGCUCCUACGGGAGGCAGCAGUAGGGAAUCUUCCGCAAUGGGCGAAAGCCUGACGGAGCAACGCCGCGUGAGUGAUGAAGGUCUUCGGAUCGUAAAACUCUGUUAUUAGGGAAGAACAUAUGUGUAAGUAACUGUGCACAUCUUGACGGUACCUAAUCAGAAAGCCACGGCUAACUACGUG
rnacentral:rRNA from 1 species